UAUUAACAAGGUGUUUUAGGGUUUCAGGGUAACAGAAGUUAAAUUUCUGGACUUCUCCUAGAUUGGUGUUCUUGCUAUAUUGGUGCUAAUCUCUUGGUGACAGCCUACUGUUUUUUGCAAGAGGAACCAUUGUUUUACACCUCAUAUACAGUGGACAAUACUCCAUAAUGACAAAGUGAAAAAUGUUUUGUCUUUGGCCUGAAUGUCUGGAGGAAACCAGGCACCACUAAUUAUCUGGUCAAUACCAUCCCUACAGUGAAGUGUGGUGGUGGCAGCAUCAUGCUGUAGGAUGUUUUUCAGCAUCAGGAACUGGGAGACUACUAAAAAUGAACGCAGCAAAAUACAGAGAGACUCUUGACGAAAACCUGCUCCAGAGCGCUCUGGACCUCAGACUGCGGCGAAGGUUCACACUCCAACAGGACAACGAUCCUAUGCACACAGCCAAGAUAACAAAGGAGUGGCUUCAGGACAAGUCUCUGAAUGUCCUAGAGUGGCCUAGCCAGAGCCCGGACUUGAACGUGAUUAAACAUCUCUGGAAAGACCUGAAAAUAGCUUUGCACUGACCCUCCCCAUCUAACCUCAUUGAGCUUGAGAGGAUGUGCAAAGAAUGGGAGAAACUCCCCCAAUUCAGGUGUGCUAAGCUUGUAGCAUCACACCCAAGAAGACUGGAGGCUGUAAUUACUGCCAAAUGUGCUUUAACAAAGUAUUUAGUAAAGGGUGUGAAUACUUAUGUA